rnacentral:rRNA from 1 species
UUUGACCUCGGAUCAGGUAGGAAUACCCG